rnacentral:misc_RNA from 1 species
GCUCUCUUCUUCCCCUCAUUCUUUUCUUCUUUUUGCCUACAUUGUGGAACCAAAUAGACAGAAAUAAACAAUUCCUUAAUGAGUUAGACUAGAUCAUUAAACUUGUUAACACCAUUAAAUUCUUUUUAACGAAAAAGUACCCGCAUGUUACUUUUUAAAAAGAAUGCAGAGUUUCCCUCAAACAAACAAAGGGAUGCAGAGUUAAUUGAAAAUGAGAAAGAAAGAACAAAUAUAUAUAUAUAUAUCAAGACUGAUUGAAUUUUCUAAGUGCCUAUUUGGUAUUGUGGUUUGAGAGCUAAAACUGCUCUUCAAGAAAAAAACACUAUUUUAGAUGCUAUUGAAAA